rnacentral:snoRNA from 17 species
AUCAUCAGUAGUGGUUAAUACUAUCUCAAGAUAAUAUUAAUUACAAUUUUUUUAUAGAAACCGAUGUUUCAAUCACCUGUGUAUUUAAAAGUGGGGUUUGUGGCUUUGGUUUUCGGACCAAAGUUGGGGCUUUGCUUAAGUUAAUAUUGGUACGUGGUGGUUGAUUCAAGCAAUAACCCAUAGCUGAAUGGGCUUUGACCACCUCCAAACAAGGUGGCCACAAAGUCCAUUUCGUUUCCGGUUUCUUAGAUUAACGUCUGUCAUGAGGGAGUAUGAACUCUUUAAGAGUUCAUAAGUGCAUGUUUUUCAGAGGAGCGUGUAAUGCGCUCUGAGAGUUUGAAAGAUUCUGUUGUGCCCUCCUUCAUGUCAGUACAUUU